AAUUUGAAUAUGCUUACCGUAGACAGUAGGUGCCGCAAGGCUUAAUUUCCUACCGAGGUGUUGUGAUAGAAAUUCGGAAUUUGCAGUAUUCUGUAAAUGAUGAUUUAUCAGGCCUUCGUGAUUCUACGGAGGCUUUUUUAAUGG
rnacentral:sRNA from 1 species